ACAUGUUUACAGUAUAGAAUUAAUGCACCAGAUCCCAUUAGAACUCCACGGUUGAGUGCGCUCGGCCUAGAGUAGUAUUGGGAUGGGUGACCGCCCAGGAAAUCCUAGUGUUUUACAUGCC
rnacentral:rRNA from 1 species